rnacentral:tRNA from 1 species
GCCGGGAUGGCGGAACUGGUAGACGCGCCGGACUCAAAAUCCGGUUCCCGCGAGGGAGUGCGAGUUCGAUUCUCGCUCCCGGCACCA